UCGAGCCAUUUAGAACAAAGAAAAAUAUCUUCCACGGAAUAAUUCAAGUUAUUAUAUGAAAUAAGAUAAAACCAGUUGUCCUGUUUAAUCGUACAAUGUCAAGAAAAAGAUAUAUCGGCUAAUGUGAAGAAGAAGAUAAAUCUUUUACUGUUAUAUUCAAUAUGAUUGAUGAUAUAUAAAUUUCAUCAAAAUAGAUACCUUAGUUUCGAUAAUUAUGCGUUCUUCCAGAUGAAUUAAUUUGCAUUGAUCCACGUAACAAAUACACGUAUAAUCUCCACGAUCAUUUUCAUUUUAUGAUACACUAUAUCGUAAGUCCUUGGUAAUAAGAUAAUAACGUAAAUUAAUAGAUACAAUUGUUUCAAAAUUAACAGAGAAUUUCAGACCGUUCUUUAGAUCCGACUUCUCUGUUAUCGAUUUCUACGAGCAUGAUAUAAUUAGAGGUGAUAAAGCGAGCGAGAGAGAGAGAGAGAGAGAGAGAACGAUUCAAUGUUUCAUGACUAAGAACGAGAAUAAAGAGAUGACAAAUAUCUUAUCUUAGCUACUAAGGUCCAGGGAAAAGCAGAUGCCUGGUUCCCGCGGACGCAUCAGCGCGCAAAUAGAAUCGGUUGAUUCAAAAUUUAGCACUCCCUUCUUCUAAUGGAAAAGAAACGGUAGUACCGUGGAAGAAUGAAAGAGGGAUCUUUCCAGAUGGUCGGAGCUGAAUUUAAGUCGUGAAAGAAAGAGAGAGAUAAAGAGAGAGAGAGAGAGUGAGAGAAAAAGAGAGAGAUCUAGGAAGGCAUGAAAAAUAUUACGAACUAAGGAGAAACUUCCAAAAAAAAAAAGAAGAAAUAAAAAAGAAAAAGAAAAAAUGUGCAUCGAAGAAUUUACUUUUUUUUACGAAAUAAAUCAAACGUCGGAAACGUACGAAUUAUCUCGAAAAUAUUUGUUAUCGCGUAAAAGAAGAAAGAGAUAGGAGCAUGGAAAAUGGUAAUCGACGUUCAGAGGAUGAUUAAAGGGCACUUUGAGUAACCACAUCUCCCGAGUAACAUUAGCUAUAAUUAAGUGGCUACCUUACAUUAAUUAGAUGUCGCGCUCACGGUCCAACACUGAUUAGACAAUCAAGUAAAGGAAAGGAAAAUGAAAAGGGAAUUAGACAAUUUAAUUGAAAUUUCUUCGACGUUAUCAAGAAUAUCAUUAAAAUUUUAAUCAAAAUAACGAUUAAUAAUGUUUAAACCAAUAUAUUUCUCACUUAUUUCUGAAAUAUUUCGAUAAAUUAAUAGUAUCGUGCAAAUAAAAAUUUGAUUAAACGAUCGAAUCGUUCGUCUGGAGUUACUCGAUUGCUUUUCCAUUCAUUCGUCUUUUUAGUUCUUUUAAUGAAAUUUUCCAAAAAAGAAAAUAAAAGAGAAAUAAAUAAAGAAAGAAAGAAAGAAAGAAAGGAAGGAAGGAAGGAAGAGAGAGAGAGAGAAGAAAUAGGAGCGAACCUAAUUCUCGUAAAUUCUAUUGAAACGGUCGAGUGAAUUUUCCGUUGGACGCAAAGAAACGAUAGAUAGACGUAGUAGAAUGAAACGAAGCUCGAAACAGAAGUGACCAAUUGCUUGGAAUCGAUGCACCCAAAAUGCAUUAUUUUAUAUUCGUAUCAUCGAUACAAACAAUUCAUCCGAGUGUUCGAUCUUUCGGUUGGUUGAAGUUCAAAAAUGAAAACGUAAUCGAAAAGAACAAAGAUCGUUUAUUAAAUCAUCGAUGCGCCAUCAGCUGUGUCUGCCAUUAAUUAGCCCGGCGACACGUGCAUCCGCGAGUUACCGAAACGUGUGCAUACGCUCUCGAAUUCAUCCUAGUGUUCACGAUAUUACUGUCGCAUCGAGAAACUUCGAAUGCACCGUUACACCCGAUAGAAAGCGUUCAUUCAUUAAGGAUUUAACAACGCGUUUCAUAUCUCGACUCGGACGCAUUCACUAUCCGAUUUUUCUCAUUUCCUUUUCUAUAAUAUAGCGGUACAUAUCUUAUCCUUGAUAAUACUCGGAUCAAAAGUAAACACUUUUAAUCUUGCACUUAAAUAAGGUUUAAUCGCGCUCGAUCGUAAUUUCUUUUUUACGACAGUGCAUUUUUAGAAAGGCUUUACUAGUCAUCGAAAGAUCGACAAAUAUUUUUCACAUGCGGGUAGAACCCGUAUAUAAAAGGAAAGAGGAAGAUAGGAGGAAAAAAAGGAAAAAAAAAAGAAGGAAGAGCAGGUAAAUACGAGUAAUGAAUGCAACGCGUGGAUGAAUACCAGAUGCAAGUGGUAUCGAUGAAAAGAGCAAAAGUAAGAGGAUAAAGGGACAUGGGAAAAUGGGGGAAAAAAAAAGAAAAAAAGAAAAUAAAUAAAUAAAGAAGAAAAGAAAAAACAAGGAGAAAAAGAGAAAGAAACACAAAACUGCAAAAAAAAGGAAAAAAAAACGGAGUAUGAUAAGGGUGAUGAAUGUAAACUCGCAAAAGGCAAAAAAUAGUAGAAUGAAAUAGAAAAAGAAAAAGAAAA